AAUUAUAUCGAUUUCCUCAACAGAUUUGUCAAUGUCCACGCGAUUAUCGAUUAUUCGUUUAUUUUUCGAUAAGAUUAUGCCGAGUAUUGCUGUGCUAUUGUUAUAUUACGUAAUACCUUCAUUCGCGCUUCCCAGACGAAAAACGCUUUACCGGUAUACGUAGCCCGCCCGUUUACAUUUAUACCUCGAACCAUUCGGAACUGAACCAUUCGAAAUCGAACCAUUUGAACGUAGCGAGCAACCUCGGCAACAAUCAAAUUUCAACUUGGCAUCGAACGGUGUGCAAUUCGCGUCCCGAUUCAAUUCUCAUUCGUAAUGAUUUCGGUACGGAUAGACAGAAGAGAGGAACAUUUCCAGCGGACGUCUUUUCGCGAUAAGGGAAGGGAGGGGGAAAGAGAAAGGGAGGGAGAGGGAGGGAGGCGUAGGAGAAAAUGUGUCAACAAAAGAGGCAGGCGCAAAUAUGGAAAAACGUUUCAUACGAGGAUACGAGGUUUAAUUAACGAAUUGUAUUUAUCGACGAGUUCGAUUCUCGAUACGUGGCAAAUGGAAAUGAAACAAUGACAAUGACAAUGCAACAACUUGAACGACAAAUUCUUCGAUUCGCGGAUAUAGGAACGACUGCGGAUGUGGCUACGGAUACGAUUGCGGACGUGGAUGCGGAUACGAGCUGCGACCGCGUUUCCUUAUAUAUCGUCUACUUGCAAAUGUAAACCGUGGAUAAAUUUAAACGAACGCUUCGACCAUGUAAACGUUUGUUAACGACGGAUUAUGAAACUUAAUCAACGUUCUUAGCCAUAAA